CCCAGCCUGAGCACCUCACCACAGAGCUGUCCAAGAUGCCUCACGUCCAAGAAGUCCCAGGUUUACAAGUGGAAGGGCCUGCUCAAGGAACUCCGCUGCUCUCUCCUGGACGGAAGGAACCAGGAGAUGGAGAGGAGAUGAAGAAGAAGAAGAAAAAGAAGAGGAAGAAGACUUAGGAACAAAGAACCCCAACAAAAGAUGAAGAAGAAGAAGAUGAAAGAGAAGAAGAAGAAGGAGGAAGUGAAGAAGAGAAGUUUG